rnacentral:rRNA from 1 species
UACGUAGGGUGCAAGCGUUGUCCGGAAUUAUUGGGCGUAAAGAGCUCGUAGGCGGUCUGUCGCGUCUGCUGUGAAAACUCGGGGCUUAACCCCGGGCCUGCAGUGGGUACGGGCAGACUAGAGUGCGGUAGGGGAGGACUGGAAUUCCUGGUGUAGCGGUGAAAUGCGCAGAUAUCAGGAGGAACACCGGUGGCGAAGGCGGGUCUCUGGGCCGUAACUGACGCUGAGGAGCGAAAGCAUGGGGAGCGAACAGGA